AAAUGCUAUCUGCAGUGUUUGCAAAGAAGCAGUUAUCUGCUUUACUUUAGUUUGACUUUGUGACUCUUCACUUCUGCAUGAAGACCCCCUCCCGUCCCCUUAAAGAGACUUUUCUCCAUCUUCACGCCCACCAUGUUCUUCCCACCGCCUCACCCACUGCCUGAACUCUUCCUUUUGCUAACAGUACAUUCCAGUCUUCUAGAAAUUUCUCCAAGAUGAAAACGGACAUAAAAGUCAUAAAACUCUCAUGUGAAAGGACCAUCCCUGUAUCAAGAGGAGAGAAGACACUUUUAUCACCAGAGACAGGGAAUUUGGGGUCUGAGAAAUCUGUAUAAACAAGCCUUAUUAAACUUACCCUUAUCUUCCUGGUUACUUCUUCACCAUUAACUACCCCUAACCUAAACUCCUUUGUCGUGUCAAUUCUUCACAAAUGUAAUAUUUCUUUGUCUAAAAGUUGCAAAAACUUCCUGCUCUGGUCACUUCUUUGGAUACUUAUUGUCUUGUAAAGUCUCAUAUGGACAUGUGAAAAUUCACUAAAAUUUGUAUGCUUUUCUCUUGUUAA